AACACGACAUUGAUCAGACUAGUAGGUUAAAUGUUAGCCAUUUAAGAGAGAUUACGGUUGGUGGAAGUAAUCAGGUUGGCUUAACCGAAUCACAUCUGUGAGUUGAUUAUUGAUCAAAAAUAAUCCGGGGUCGCCCGUUACAGCGCCGAGUUUAUUUGAACUCACUGAGGUUAAGGUUGUGAGGCCUUAAUGAAUAUGAGGUGGAACCGCGGACAACGCCCUCUAA
rnacentral:ncRNA from 1 species